GGUCCAGGGAAGGUCAUUUCAUGACAGAAAAGACUUGGAUGUGUUCCCAGCUGCCAAGACAGAGGUCAAGGUGCUGACAGUGGGUGGUAGGUGCACUGAAAACCCUGGAGGCAAGACACAGGGGGAGGCUGACCCUCAGAGAGCUGGGGCAAGGAAGUAUGAAUGAGCCUAUUCCAAUGAUGCAAAGACAGAAAACCAGAGAGACCUAACUCUUGGCAGCCCUACCAUUGUGCUCACUUGAAGGACAGGAAGAUGACUAAACACCAGCAGAUGAAAAGCAACGUUCAUGAAUUACACACUGGGAAACAGAAUGCCUGAACUACCCAUGUAUAACUACUGCUCACAGAUCCCCAGUGGGACUGCAUGUAGAUUCUCUUCCAGAAGUCAAGAAAUUAGCAUCAGACAAGUAAGCCUGUGAAGACCCUUGUUGUUCAAGCUGUCAGAUGACUCUCGCAGAGGGGGAUAGUGGCUGCUACACUCUGUGCUUUGGGUCCUGUCUCUCUCUGCUGGCUCUCCUCUGAAGAGACCAACAUCUGGAGGUGCUGAGUUGAGGGGCUGCAGUCAUGCACAGAAUUUGCACAGUCCCAGUGAGUUGAACAAAGCCCAGGGGACUCACUUCCUCCAGGAUCACCCAAGCAGCCAGACUUUGGGUCUCCUGCAAUGAAGUUUCAAAGAAUACAAACUACGGUUUUAGGGGAGCAAAUUUGUGAAGCAUAUCUUUCAGUGCUGGUGAUUGCCAGUGACAUACAGAAUGGCGGGCAAUCACUUGGUCACACCCAUCUCCCUUCUCUGAGCAAAAGCAAACAGCUCAGAAGGAAGAUGACAGUUUCCCACUUGAACCAGUAAGAUUAAGGGAAAGGGAAAACCACUCCUCUCCUGCAUGGAGUCACCCUGCCAGUUUCCUAAACCUUCUGUCACUUUUCAUCUUGCCUCAACUACUUUUCUUUGUCAUAAAAGUGAAUGUUUUCACAAGCUAAUCCAGCUUCUUCCAUUUUUCAUAGGCUUAAACCUAAAAGGGGCUUCAAAAAGUAACUUCACAGAUUGAUUCCUAAACUCUCUUUCAAGGUCACUGCUUUGACAUUGGAGAUUGGGCGUGAGGGUGCAUCUGGGUUGGGAGGGAUAAGAAUGGAGUCUGUUGGGGUGCCUGGGGGGCUCAGUUGGUUAAGCGUCCGAUUUCAGCUCAGGUCACAAUCUCACGGUUCGUGGGUUCGAGCCCUGCGUCAGGCUCUGUGCUGACAGCUGGGAGCCUGGAGCCUAGUUUGAAUUCUGUGUCUCCCUCUCUCUCUGCCCCUCCCCCACUUGUGCUCUAUCUCUGUCUCUCAAAAAUGAAUAAAUGUAAAAAAAAAUUAAUUAAAAAAACAGAAUGGAGUGUGUUGAUCUUUACUGUGUCAGGUUUUAUUUUGUUUUGUUUGUGCAUCAUCUUGUUACCUCAGCACUAUUUAUACCCCCAAUUCUAUCUACUCUUUGUGUGCUAUGGCAAGCUGGAGGGAACUUAUUUAUACAUUUACUUUUUACAUACUCCAAUAGAUAAUGGUUUUGUUUUCCUUUUCUAGGUUCCAACCAUGAAACACAGAUACACAGACUAUUAACUAUACAGAAUCAAAAAAGUAGAGAGGUUGGAAAUUAUCUGCCUAUCUGCCUUCUUUUUAUGGACAACAGAAGGCUAAGGCGCAGGAGUAAUUCUAGGGGAAGACACCUCCCAAUUCCCCCAUUUAGUGCUCUGUCCACUAACCAUGUCCCUCUAGAAUGAACCAUGCCAGUCCCUACCACUCUCCUCCUCGACACCAACGUGUUCAUGGCAGCUUCGCGGGAACGUAUUCACCACAGUUCCAGAAGAUAAUUUGUGAAAAAUACAAUGUGUUGUUCUUCUAUUUUUUAAUUUACAUUCUGUCUAUAUAUUCAAUCAUAUUCAAUAAAUUAUGUGGAAAAACUUAA